AAAAACAAUGUUAUCACCCUAUUCAAAGUGUUGAAAUAGUCUUGUUUGGAGUUGUGUGGGGUUGAAUAAUUAUGUUUAUAAUAUUUCAUAAGUUGGAAGAAAAAUAAAAAAAAAUAGAAAAAAAAGGAAUGAAAAAAUAGAAGGAUAAGAGGAAGAAAAAAAUAGACGGCUAAGAGGAAGAAAAAAAGCAAUUAUGUUUGUAAUAUUUUAAUACAUGUCAAUACAUACUCCUUAAAAAAAAUGAAUAAAAAAAGGAAGGAGAAGAGAAAACAAUUGCUAUAGAG
rnacentral:lncRNA from 1 species